CUCUCUACCGGUAAAAACUGCUGAUGUGUACAUUAUUUUCUGACUUGGCUUUAAUAUAAAAUAAAUGUAAAAUGUGACAUGGUUAAAAAAAUAAAAUUAAAACAUAAAAGAAAAACUAAAUAGAUGAAAAAACAUGGCCGAUUCAAAUAUCCUGCUCCGAUUUCCUCCCAAACCUUCCCAAUAAUCCCUUCUACGCCAACCCAGUCUCCACUGCUCAGUUCGACUCUUGUUCUGAUAUCGUUCGUGGGUCAAUUGAGGAUUUCUACUUUUGGAGAUCGGAAGAUGAGAGUCAAGAUUCGAUCUUGAUGAAUCUCGUAGACGACUGGUUGGGUUUCGUAGAUCCGACAAAUUCGUUUCUAGAUCCAAGAAUCCCAGGCGAUGGGAAGGCAGAGAAGUUAAAGCAUUCAAUGACUUCAAGUUCCCGUAUGAAGCUAUGGUUGAUUCCAGUCGCUACGGCAUGGCUAUGGUUAUGUGUUGUUUUGUUGAUGGCACUUGGAGAGAUGUUAGGGGCGAGAUUAUUGAAGAGAUGGGUUUGUUUCUUGCCUUAAUCAUACUGAUUUCUCUGCUGGCCAAAGUUGCUCUCCCCCAAUGAGUGAGUUCAAGAUUGAGAUUGCACGUGAUGAAGAUGAUGGGGUGGGACGCAAGGGGCUGAGGUCAAACAGAUCAAUACGACAUUGCCACGUGGAAUAUCAUUACAAAAUUAAAAUAUACACAUCAUUAGUUAACAGCCACCUCAUCUCUUUUAUGAGGGAAAAGUGGUCCGAGGGCUAAUGUGAAUCGAUUCUUGAAGUUGAAGGGUUGAUUUGAUACGAAAAAAAGAUUAAGGGCUCAAGUGACCUUUUUUUGGUAAUUCAAGGGCUUCCCUGAUACUUAUCCCUUUAUUUAUUUUUUAAAUUGAAAAAAAAAGUGCUGAAUAUGUUACGGUUUGAAAAUAUUAAUGGCUUGAAAUCAAAAUUUAUCUGAGUCUUUGCUAAUGUUAGGAUUUUUUUAUAAGAUGUAUGAUUCAUUUUGUCUAAUUUAGUAAACUUAUUUUCCCGCUGA